AGUGGAAUUGUUGGGUCAUGUGGUAAGCCUCUGUUUAACUUUUUGAGGAACUGUUAAACUGUUUUCCACAGAGGCUGCACCAUUUUACAUUCCUACCAGCAAU
rnacentral:pre_miRNA from 1 species